UAAGUACAAGCUCCACUGGUCUGAAAGGCCCAGGAACAGCUGUGGGGUAUGAACUGCAGAGGCCUUGGUCAUGGAAGAAAUCAGCCUGACUCUCCUCCAUGAAAUUGAAGUGUUUGUCAUCCCUGGAAAAGGGUCUCUCAGCAGCCGACCCUUUGCUGCGCCUGGUUUGAGUUUCAAAAGGAGCUCGUGCGGUUCCCACAUCACUCUUAAACCCCAUACCAGCUUCUGCCACCAACCGAUGCAUGAAGGAGCCAAAGGGGCUGGGCCAGGCUCCUCCCUCCCAGCAGGAAAGUGGCAGGACGUACCUGCAGCCAUGGUUACCUUUUUUUUUUGGAGCUUAAGAAAGUCAAAAAGAAGGGGAAAGAGAAAACUACGGGUAGAAUGGAGAUGAACAUCUGACAUUGUGUAAAAGGGAGAAAAAUGCAGGUUAGUAGAAAUGUUAUGGGUCUUUUUUUGUUUAAUGAUUACAAUUUAGUGAUCAAAAAUAUGCUCUGAUAAAUAGAUUCACCAAAGAAAUGGCUUAUGUCAGAUACUGCUCUACUGGCCAU